AUUGAACGCUGGCGGCAGGCCUAACACAUGCAAGUCGAGCGGAUGAGAGGAGCUUGCUUCUCGAUUCAGCGGCGGACGGGUGAGUAAUGCCUAGGAAUCUGCCUGGUAGUGGGGGACAACGUUUCGAAAGGAACGCUAAUACCGCAUACGUCCUACGGGAGAAAGCAGGGGACCUUCGGGCCUUGCGCUAUCAGAUGAGCCUAGGUCGGAUUAGCUAGUUGGUGAGGUAAUGGCUCACCAAGGCGACGAUCCGUAACUGGUCUGAGAGGAGGAUCAGUCACACUGGAACUGAGACACGGUCUAGACUCCUACGGGAGGCAGCAGUGGGGAAUAUUGGACAAUGGGCGAAAGCCUGAUCCAGCCAUGCCGCGUGUGUGAAGAAGGUCUUCGGAUUGUAAAGCACUUUAAGUUGGGAGGAAGGGUUGUAGAUUAAUACUCUGCAAUUUUGACGUUACCGACAGAAUAAGCACCGGCUAACUCUGUGCCAGCCGCCGCGGUAAUAC
rnacentral:rRNA from 1 species